AUGAGUAGCCACUGCACCUUGCCCUGCGCCAUCAAUGAGAAGAUCUGCUCUUAGUAGAGCCCUGCUUUCCCGCUGAAGGCCCUGAAAUCACCUGUGUUCCAGGCCACCCACUAAGGAUAAACAAAGCUUCCCUGAUAUGGGGAAUUAGCUCAAGUGGUAGAGCGCUUGCUUAGCAUGCAAGAGGUAGUGGGAUCAAUGCCCACAUUCUCCAAGCUUUAUUAUUUAGGUACCCAAACCCGAGUCAGUGUCUGAGAGCAAGACACUGCUCUCGGUGUCUUUGGUUCAAGACAUAGGAGCAGCAACAAUACAGGACUGGUGACAGCUUCCUGCUGGCAUUCAGUAUAGUGUAGAUCUACUGUGUAAUUAAUUUUCUGUUUCUUCGAGGAGCUGUGAAACCAAAGGACAUAUAAAACUGCUCUUUUCUCCCUGUUUCUGCCUGCAGCUUGGUCCUAAAUGUGAGACAAUUGUGAAAAGUGGAGGACAGAGCCACCUGGUUAAAUACAGCCCCAGCUUUCUGGUGAGAGGACUGAAACCAAGAUGUGUCAAGUAACUAGAAUGUGCCUGGACAGAUACUGUAGAAAGCAAAACCAUAAAGUUGUUCAUGAGCUUGUGGACGCACCUGCCAGCUGUGAAUAAGUGGCUCUAAUCCCGAACAACUUACCUAAAAAGAGCCUGAGAGCUGAACUGUGCAAUGGCCCACUUUCCAGUCCUCACUGACCACUGGGUUGCACACACUUUGGAGAUCUCUGAACAGCAGUGUCAAGGCUUUCAAAUAGAGUUAUCUUUGAAACGACAACACAUGAAAGUCUGGUUGGUACUUGGAGCUUAAAUACAAGGCAAUUGUGUGCCUGCAAAAACAAAAAUAGCAAUAUUAUCCUUAAGAUUUCAACAAGACACAGUGUCUCAUCACAUAAUCCAAAGAAGUCCAGGUUACAAGCCCCACAAUAUUCAGCAUUAUGAAAAAACAGGGAGAUCUUAAUUCACAUGGCAAAGAGAAUCCUCGAAUAACAAUAUUGAGAGGACACAGAUGUCAAAAUCAUCUGACACAUACAUUAAAGCAGAUAUUAUAACAAUGCUCCUAGAAUCGGGGAUAACAUUCGUGAAGUGAAUGGAAAGUUGGAAAGUCUCACCAAAUAUUUCGAAUACAUAAACACCAAUUUAAACUUAAGAAUUAAAAAAAUGUAUUAACCAAAACUCUUAGGGGAAAUAAAAAGCUUAAUUGGAGGAUCUCCAUAAUCGAAUGCAGAAGACUAAGGAAAAAGUCAAUGAACUUGAAAACAGAACACGAAUACCUACAUAAUCUGAACUAUAGAGAGAAAGGAGGAUUUUAUUGUCUCUGAACAGAGGCUCAGGCACAAAUAAAAAAUAACAAAUCCAACAUUCACAUUAUUGUAAUCUGGAAAGAAGAGGACAAAGUGGUCUUUGUGGGAUAAAACUUUGAACAAUUAAUAGCUGAAAAUGGUUCAAAUUUGUCAAAAGAUAUAAACCAGAUUUUUAAAGUUCAGUAAAUGUCAAUCAGGAUAAACCCAAAGAAACCCAUAGCAAGGCAUAUCAUAAUCAAACUGCUGAAAACUAAGAAAAUACAAAACAAUUUUGAAAGCAGCCAAAGGGAAAUGAAAGAGAAACUACCAAAUGAAUGAUUGUAGAUUUCGCAUCAGGAACCAUAGGGGCCAGAAAAAAUGUCAUAACAUUCGGUAAGUAACAAAAGAAAAAGACAUAUCGACCCAGAAUGCUAUGUGGAGCAAAAGUAUCUUCCAGACAUAAAGGCAAAUAAAUGCAUUCUCAGUGGAAGGUAAGUAAAUACAUUCUCAUUCUUAGGAAGACUGCUGGAAAAGAAUUAGCAAAGAUUUGAGAUAAGAAAAAUGAUACCAGAAGGAAACUUAGAACAUCAUCAGUGAAGGAACAAAAGCAGAAAUAGAACAUGUCUGGGUAGACAUAACAGACUAUUAUUCUUCCCUUGAGUUCCUUAAGGUAUGUUUGAUGAUUGAAAGCAAAAAUUGUAACUUUAUCAGAAGCAGUUGUCAUUGUAUCUAGAUGUACUACAUACAGAAGAUAAAAGGGUAAGUGUAAUGGGACUAACUCUUGAUGAAGUUUCUUUAUUCAACUUGAAUGGUAAAAUAUUGAUUCUAAGUAUACUGUGAAAGGUUAUAUAUGUAUAUGGUAAACCCUAGACCACCUACUAACAAGAUUUAAAUAAACCAAAACAAGAUAGAAAGAGGAACAUAGAUGAAUUAAAACAAAGGGAAACAAGGUUAAUACAUUAUUAAAUAAUAGACCUAUCUAAAAACUUAUCUAUAAUGACAUUACAUGUAAAUAAUCUAAACGCAUUAAUUAAAAACUAGAGAUCAUCAGAAUGUGUUAAAAAUAAAUAUGCUGACUAAAGAAAGCCACCUGCUAUACACUUAUAUAUAAGAAUAAAAGUUAUAGAGCAGAUUGAAAGAAAAGAGUGGGAAAAGAUACCUCAUGCAAGCACUAAUCAAAGACAGCUGUGAUGUAUAUAUAAAAAAAUCAGACAAAGUACAUUUGAAAGCAGAGAAACUUUUCAGGAAUAAUGAGGCCUGCUAAAUAAUUAUGAUUGUCAAUUUUCCAGGGGAAUAUUGUCCCAAGUGUAUAUGAGAACAUAGAGCUUCAAAACUCAUAAACAAAAUUGGAUACGCAAGGUAAAUCAAUCACUGCUUCCCUCCGUGUGUAUUUCACACACACACACACACACACACACACACACAGCACUUAAAUUGAACAGGUUUAUUUCUUCACACAGGAAUUCCUACGAACAGCCCGGUUUUCUCCACCAUAUGUCCACUCCUUCUCUGCAUAGCUGAAUUUUGAUUCUUACACUCUAAUAUUUUACAUAUUCUUACACUCUGAUAUGAUCUUGUCUCUUAUUCUUUAUGGCUCUGCUCUGUAAUUUUGUUGUUGUUGUUCUGAGAUAUAGUUGGACAUGUAACUUGUACAUGACACACCUUAGCAAGGAGGCAACCUAUAUCUCAGAUGCAAGUGAAAGAAGCACUCCCCAGGGGUUUCCUAAGGUAGUGGUCAGCACGCUGGCUUCAUUCCUGAAAGGGCCUAGUUAUGAAAACAACAGGAGCUUUUUGCCUUCCAGAAAUCUGUACCAUCUCAAAAUCCCCAGAGAGUCUCAGCUACAAGGAACAAGUGAUAAUACUAUCUCACUUUUAUAAACACACACACACAACACACACACACAAAAUCAUUUAAUCAUUUUUAAUUAUUUAAUCAUUUUUUAAAAAUCAGUGACACUUUAGAUGGGCAGGUCUAGGCAGGGCCUCCUUUCCUGGAAUGUGCCUUUUUCUGUCCCGGAAUACCCUAAACUUGACAUUUUGGCAGUGUGAGUUUUCCCUUUUUGACUUUCUCCUUGUUCCCUUUCCUCUUCCUUCUUUGCAGAGAAUGAGUAGCCACUGCACCUUGCCCUGGGCCAUCAGUGAGAAGAUCUGCUCUUAGUAGAGCCCUGCUUUCCCGCUGAAGGCCCUGAAAUCCCCUGUGUUCCAGGCCACCCACUAAGGAUCAAUAAAGCUCCCC
rnacentral:tRNA from 1 species